rnacentral:rRNA from 1 species
CCUUAACUGACGCUAAAGCUCGAAAGUGCGGGUAUCGAACAGGAUUAGAUACCCUGGUAGUCCGCACGGUAAACGAUGGAUGCCCGCUGUUGGCGAUACAAUGUCAGCGGCCAAGCGAAAGCGUUAAGCAUCCCACCUGGGGAGUACGCCGGCAACGGUGAAACUCAAAGGAAUUGACGGGGGCCCGCACAAGCGGAGGAACAUGUGGUUUAAUUCGAUGAUACGCGAGGAACCUUACCCGGGCUUGAACUGCAGCUGAACGAUCCAGAGAUGGUGAGGCCCUUCGGGGCAGCUGUGGAGGUGCUGCAUGGUUGUCGUCAGCUCGUGCCGUGAGGUGUCGGCUUAAGUGCCAUAACGAGCGCAACCCUUUUCAUUAGUUGCCAUCAGGUUAUGCUGGGCACUCUGGUGAUACUGCCACCGUAAGGUGUGAGGAAGGUGGGGAUGACGUCAAAUCAGCACGGCCCUUACGUCCGGGGCUACACACGUGUUACAAUGGGUGGUACAGAGAGUUGGUCGUUUGCAAAUGCGAUCUAAUCCUUAAAGCCAUCCUCAGUUCGGAUUGGGGUCUGCAACCCGACCCCAUGAAGCUGGAUUCGCUAGU